rnacentral:rRNA from 1 species
CGCAGCAGGCGAGAAAACUUUGCAAUGUGCGAAAGCACGACAAGGUUAAUCCGAGUGGUUUCUGCUAAAGGAACCUUUUGUCAGUCCUAGAAACACUGAUGAAUAAGGGGUGGGCAAGUUCUGGUGUCAGCCGCCGCGGUAAAACCAGCACCUCAAGUGGUCAGGAUGAUUAUUGGGCCUAAAGCAUCCGUAGCCGGCUCUGUAAGUUUUCGGUUAAAUCUGUACGCUCAACGUACAGGCUGCCGGGAAUACUGCAGAGCUAGGGAGUGGGAGAGGUAGACGGUACUCGGUAGGAAGGGGUAAAAUCCUUUGAUCUAUUGAUGACCACCUGUGGCGAAGGCGGUCUACCAGAACACGUCCGACGGUGAGGGAUGAAAGCUGGGGGAGCAAACCGGAUUAGAUGCCCGGGUAGUCCCAGCUGUAAACUAUGCAAACUCAGUGAUGCAUUGGCUUGUGGCCAAUGCAGUGCUGCAGGGAAGCCGUUAAGUUUGCCGCCUGGGAAGUACGUACGCAAGUAUGAAACUUAAAGGAAUUGGCGGGGGAGCACCACAAGGGGUGAAGCCUGCGGUUCAAUUGGAGUCAACGCCAGAAAUCUUACCCGGAGAGACAGCAGAAUGAAGGUCAAGAUGAAGACUUUACCAGACAAGCUGAGAGGUGGUGCAUGGCCGUCGCCAGCUCGUGCCGUGAGAUGUCCUGUUAAGUCAGGUAACGAGCGAGAUCCCUGCCUCUAGUUGCCACCAUUACUCUCAGGAGUAGUGGGGCGAAUUAGCGGGACCGCCGCAGUUAAUGCGGAGGAAGGAAGGGGCCACGGCAGGUCAGUAUGCCCCGAAACUCUGGGGCCACACGCGGGCUGCAAUGGUAACGACAAUUGGUUCCAAAUCCGAAAGGAUGAGGUAACCCUCAAACGUUACCACAGUUAUGACUGAGGGCUGCAACUCGCCCUCACGAAUAUGGAAUCCCUAGUAACUGCGUGUCAUUAUCGCGCGGUGAAUACGUCCCUGCUCCUUGCACACACCGCCCGUCGUUUCAUUGAAGUGAGCUUUUAGCGAGGUGACGUCUAAUUGGCGUUAUCGAACUUGAGGUUCGUGACAAGGGAAAAGUCGUAAC